rnacentral:rRNA from 1 species
UACGGAGGGUGCAAGCGUUAAUCGGAAUUACUGGGCGUAAAGCGCACGCAGGUGGCUGAGUCAGUCGAUUGUGAAAGCCCUGGGCUUAACCUGGGAAUUGCAGUCGAUACUACUUAGCUAGAGUAUGGGAGAGGGCAGUGGAAUUCCCGGUGUAGCGGUGAAAUGCGUAGAUAUCGGAAGGAACAUCAGUGGCGAAAGCGACUUCCUGGACCAGUACCGACGUUCAGGCACGAAAGCGUGGGGAGCAAACAGG